rnacentral:rRNA from 1 species
UGGGCAGGUAAGUCAGUGGUGAAAUCUCUGAGCUUAACUCAGAAACUGCCGUUGAUACUAUCUGUCUUGAAUGUAGUGGAGGUGAGCGGAAUAUGUCAUGUAGCGGUGAAAUGCUUAGAUAUGACAUAGAACACCAAUUGCGAAGGCAGCUCGCUACACUAUUAUUGACACUGAGGCACGAAAGCGUGGGGAUCAAACAGGAUUAGAUACCCUGGUAGUCCACGCCCUAAACGAUGGAUACUCGACAUCAGCGAUACACAGUUGGUGUCUGAGCGAAAGCAUUAAGUAUCCCACCUGGGAAGUACGACCGCAAGGUUGAAACUCAAAGGAAUUGA